rnacentral:rRNA from 1 species
GUGUCAGCAGCCGCGGUAAGACAGAGGGUGCAAACGUUGCUCGGAAUCACUGGGCGUAAAGGGCGUGUAGGCGGAUGGAUAAGUCGGGCGUGAAAUCCCUGGGCUCAACCCAGGAACUGCACUCGAAACUGUCUAUCUUGAGUACCGGAGAGGAAGGUGGAAUUCCUGGUGUAGAGGUGAAAUUCGUAGAUAUCAGGAGGAACACCAGUGGCGAAGGCGGCCUUCUGGACGGUAACUGACGCUGAGACGCGAAAGCGUGGGGAGCAAACAGGAUUAGAUACCCUGGUAGUCCACGCUGUAAACGAUGAACACUAGGUGUCGUGGGUAUUGACCCCUGCGGUGCCGUAGCUAACGCAUUAAGUGUUCCGCCUGGGAAGUACGGUCGCAAGACUAAA